AGAUAAAUCAUAAAUUUGUAAAUAAAAAUAGAAAAAAACAAAAGUGGAUGUCGUAUGUUUUAUUCCACAUGUCAAUAUAUCUAUGUUCUUCUCUAAAAAUAAAAAUAAUGCCAUAAGAACAGUUCUAGGCAACGAUUAAACUAGUUGUGAUUUGGAGAGCCUCUGGGUUGCGAGAUAUCCCCAAAUACAAAGUUCGAAGGGAAACUUACCAAAACACUCCUCCUACAUGAAGAGUGCACAGACAAUUUUGUCUUUAACCAACGAGCUUCGAGCAUUCUGUGCAACAACUUUGCCGUGUUGAGCUCGGGCUGAGCCAUCUGAAGAUAUUGAGGAGCCGUAGCACCUCCGGGAACUUAUCAAUCAAGAGAGAACACUAAUAUUAACAAAAACGUCUUCCAUCAAGACUGUUGAAAAGCACAGGCAACC